AGUAAAAGCCGCAUUCCUGCUCUUAGCACUGUGCCUCGCGUUGGCGUGCAUAUUGCAAAGGAACAGCAGCACACCAAGAUAUCCACUUUUAGUUCAACUGGCCUGGGAUAUUUCCAGGGGGCUGUACCCGCCCAGGGGGACAACUCUAAGGACCACCUACUCAUCCUCAGUUCUCUUUCAGAAAGGAUUCCUAGGGAUUUGUAUCUCAUAAAUGGGUGUGGACAUCUCUCUUAUAUGGUAAUUUUUAUUAUUUAUCAUAUAGUACAGUUAUGUGAUGACUGACAAGAAGCACAUUGCCCUGUUUAUGUGUGUUCAUUAGCAGAUGAUGGCUUUGCUGUAGUUCUGCAGUAUCUUAGCUCUCAUUCUGCUCACAGGUUUGUGACGCUGUUUAUUGCGAUAGGAAUCAGUAUCCUCUGCUGUGCCAGGUAUUUUAAAUACUGCUAUGAUAGGAAUGUGAGAGAUCUGGGCCGGAGUCCCGAAAGGACCUCAGUCUUCAUCAUUCCUAUGCCAUCCAUCGAAGAAAACGACCAUUAUAGCCCACCUCACUACAGCAGGAUUGACAUUGAACUUCCGCCUCCGUAUUCUGAGGUGGAGAUGAAGCCAGACUUGUUUCCCCUUCCUGAAGAGCUACCUCCCCCGUACAUAGAAUUCUCAG